UACGAAGGGGGCUAGCGUUGUUCGGAAUUACUGGGCGUAAAGCGCGCGCAGGCGGCUCUACAAGUCAGUGGUGAAAGCCCGGAGCUCAACUCCGGAACUGCCAUUGAAACUGCAGAACUUGAGGAUGAGAGAGGUGAGUGGAAUUCCCAGUGUAGAGGUGAAAUUCGUAGAUAUUGGGAAGAACACCGGUGGCGAAGGCGGCUCACUGGCUCAUUUCUGACGCUCAGGCGCGACAGCGUGGGGAUCAAACAGG
rnacentral:rRNA from 1 species